UACAGAGGGGGCAAGCGUUGUUCGGAAUUACUGGGCGUAAAGCGCACGUAGGCGGAUUUGUAAGUCAGGGGUGAAAUCCCGGGGCUCAACCUCGGAACUGCCUUUGAUACUGCAAGUCUCGAGUCCGAUAGAGGUGAGUGGAAUUCCUAGUGUAGAGGUGAAAUUCGUAGAUAUUAGGAAGAGCACCAGUGGCGAAGGCGGCUCACUGGAUCGGUACUGACGCUGAGGUGCGAAAGCGUGGGGAGCAAACAGG
rnacentral:rRNA from 1 species